UGCGGACAGGCUGUGUGAAGGCUAAACUUCUGAACAGAAGCAGCUGCUGUUUAUGUUGCGCGUUUUCUCCGAGUUAUAAAAGCAAGGAGAGCAGAAACAGGGCUUCUCUUUAGUUAACUGAUCUAGCUGGCAAGGUAACUGCUGUUUGACAGAAAAAAAUAACAAAUGAUUCCCUGUGCUGAGCUAGUAGUGUAACUAACAUUAGCAAAUUUUUCAUCCCCUCUCAGCUGAAGUGAAUGAACUGCUAGCAGCUACCACAGCCAGUUCAGCUCUAGCUAGCCUCUAGCUGCUGUAUCUGUCAGGUAGCAGUAUCUAACAGCUGUUGUGUGUAUGGAAAUGUUUUGUUGCCUUUGUUUUGUCCUGUUUCAACAUAUGUAAAUUUGAUGAUGUACCAUUGUACCAUUAGCUAGCAGAGCUAGCCAAAAGUUGGCUAGGAAAACUGACAGCUAGCUAGCUCACUAACAUUAGCUAUUAUUUUUGCCUCAAUCACACUAGACCUGAAUCAAAUGAUUAAACCCAGAGUUUUUAUUAGUCAGUAUAGCAAUGUAACAUGAUUUAUCUGGCAGUUUCCCUAGCUAAUUCCCUUCCUUUCACACUGACACGAUAUAAGCAGCUAUACAGGCUUCAUGGUGCAGUCAGUACACAACACUACAGUACACAUCAAGCAGGAUCAGAUGAUGACAGGUGUCCCAGCAGGGUCAGACAACCAGGGAAGACCAGUCUACAGAGCUCAGUAUUUCUGAGCACAUCUGAGAAAAGAUGGUGACAGAGUCAAGCAGCCAGGGAAGUCUGGGAUGGAGCUGAGUAGUUACAGUCUUGUCUCGUCGCUGCAACUCCCGUACGGACUCGGGAGAGGCAAAGGUCGAGAGCCAUGCGUCCUCCGAAACACAACCCGACCGAGCCGCACUGCUUCUUGACACAACGCACAUCCAACCCAGAAGCCAGACACACCAAUGUGUCGGAGGAAACACCUGGAGACCUGGUCAGCAUGUACUGUGCCUGGCCCGCCACAGGAGUCGCUAGUGCGUGAUGAGACAAGGAUAUACCUGCUGGCCAAACCCUCCCUAACCCAGAUGACGCUGAGCCAAUUGUGCGCCGCCCCAUGGAAGAAAUGUCAAGUUAUGUAUCACUAGAUACACUAGACACACUAGUAUGUAUUACUAGACUAAGGGUAUACUGUGCAACUUUCAUAAAGUAUGGAUACCUUAUAUGGAAUACAGUAUGACAAAGGGAGUCUUUAUUGAAAACAUGCUCAUGUCAGGGGAGAUAACUAUUUAGGAAAUCCCUAGCUGCUGGGCUGCUCAUUCCUCAGUCCUGGCCUUGGGGGUCUGCUGUACUGUUGGUUGUCACUCUGACCUUGGCCUAACACACCUGAAACCAAUAAUGAAUGUUUCACUAAAAUCUUAAAGCUGAGUGGGGUGUGUUGGGUUGGGGGCUGCAGGGCCGUGGACCCCUAGGGGCAGGAUGGGGUGACCCAGCUAUAUUGUGUGCAGAUAAAAAGAGCUACAGUACUAUUACGCAUAUGAUAUUAAUGAUUUUAUUUAGGGUGUACUGUUUCUAUGUGUUAAUGUGUAUGUGUGUUUUUACAACACUUUUGUUUUCAAACCUUUCCUUGAGACAUAAAAAAAAGAUGGGAAGUAA